AUGCUACAAACCAUACUAGAAUGGGGCACAGAAGUGGAAGUUGAAAUCAGAGAAGACGAAGAAAUUCACAACCCUGAUCCAUAUGAUUUUGUCUACAGCAACAUACCAAAAAAUACACAUGUGCUCAAACCGGAAGAAAAUUGCAGAUUAUGUCAUGCAAAAAAAUUCAAGUACGAGACUAAGGGGUUAUGCUGCAGAAAAGGACGGAUAAGACUAGCCAGUCCAGAUACACCACCUGAACUCAUGAGACUUUGGACAAGCAACGACUCUGAUGCAAGACAUUUUCGAAAAAAUAUAAGAUUUUUCAAUGGACACUUCUCAUUUACUACUCUAUACUGUCACCUUGACAGAGACACAACUGACAUGCGAACAGCUGGUAUUUACACCUUUCGAGCUCAUGGUCAGAUCUAUCACAACAUACAUUCAUUUGGUAAUAGUCACUCAGAUCCAAAGCAUUUGGAGCUAUACUUCUACAACGAUGAUCCAAGCUUAGAGCAUCGAUAUCGUCGUUGCCGCGAGGAAAUGUACGAGCAAGACAAGCAUGUGAUUGGAAUAAUAACCGACAUCCUACGCGGUAACCCGUACUCUCAACAGUAUAGGAGUUUGGGACAAGCCCAAAACCUUGAGGACUACAGAGUCAUCUUGAACCUUGACCAAAGAUUGGACCAGAGAACAUACAACGCACCAAUCAAUUCGGAGGUAGCUGCAGUGUGGAUUGAAGGAAAUGAAAGAAGAGAUACUUAUGACAGGAGUGUAAAACUACAUGGGAACAACAACGAAAAAGAGCACAUUCGAUCAUAUUACGGGUGCUAUGAUCCGUUGUCGUAUCCUCUAUUCUUUCCAAUAGCUGAACUGGGUUGGCAUAGGAAAAUCCCAAAGAAGAAUACACAAGAGGAAGAUAUUGGUGCUGAUAAUAUCAAUAAUGACGACAACCCAGAUUCGGUCAACGGCUUGUGGGUAACCAUGAAAGAAUACUACUCCUAUAAAUUCCAUACAUGA
rnacentral:rRNA from 1 species